GGGACACGUGGUAUCCUGUCUGAAUAUGGGGGGACCAUCCUCCAAGGCUAAAUACUCCUGACUGACCGAUAGUGAACCAGUACCGUGAGGGAAAGGCGAAAAGAACCCCGGCGAGGGGAGUGAAAAAGAACCUGAAACCGUGUACGUACAAGCAGUGGGAGCCUCUUUAUGGGGUGACUGCGUACCUUUUGUAUAAUGGGUCAGCGACUUAUAUUCUGUAGCAAGGUUAACCGUAUAGGGGAGCCGAAGGGAAACCGAGUCUUAACUGGGCGUUAAGUUGCAGGGUAUAGACCCGAAACCCGGUGAUCUAGCCAUGGGCAGGUUGAAGGUUGGGUAACACUAACUGGAGGACCGAACCGACUAAUGUUGAAAAAUUAGCGGAUGACCUGUGGCUGGGGGUGAAAGGCCAAUCAAACCGGGAGAUAGCUGGUUCUCCCCGAAAGCUAUUUAGGUAGCGCCUCGUGAACUCAUCUUCGGGGGUAGAGCACUGUUUCGGCUAGGGGGCCAUCCCGGCUUACCAACCCGAUGCAAACUACGAAUACCGAAGAAUGUUAUCACGGGAGACACACGGCGGGUGCUAACGUCCGUCGUGAAGAGGGAAACAACCCAGA
rnacentral:rRNA from 1 species